rnacentral:lncRNA from 1 species
CUUGAAAUGGGCUGAGUCCCUCUUGCUCACCCUUGACUUGGAAAAACCAGUUUCUCUUUUAUUGUCUGUUACUAAUCUCUAUUCUAAAAAUUCAGCUCAAUUCUCAACCAUACUCCAAACUCUCUCUUUUCCAGCUACCUUUACUCCCUCUCCUUCAAUUCCACUUUCCUCUGCUUACUUUUUUUUUUUUUCUGACAGGGUCUCACUUUGUCGCCCGGGCAGGAGUGCAGUGGCUCAAUCUUGGGCUCACUGCAGCCUCAACCUCCCAGAGGCGGGGUUUCACCAUGUUGCCCAGACUGGUCUUGAACUCCUGAGCUUAAGCAAUCCACCUGCCUCGGCCUCCCAAAGUGUUGGGAUCACAGGCGUGAGCCACCGCAUCCGGCCUCAUGUUCUUUUUCAUUAAAGAGAGAAAUCAACUAUUCAGGACCGGCCCCCACCUUUCCUCAGGAGUCAUUUCUGUUCCGCACAGGCCUGCUGAACUGGGUGCUUUAUAUAGGCAAACUCAAAGCUAGGUCCUGAUGUCUCAAGGCACAGGUACUCGUACUUAAAGACACUGUCAUCUCUCAAGUACCCAUCUUGGAGGGUACGGACCCCACAUGAGGGUGAGGCUCUCUGCACACUCCAGAAAAGGACCAACCACACCGAGCUCAGUUAUGGCACACACAGUGGGACCUAGACAAAGGGAGAGGGUGACCGACAUCCCAACUAGGUAAACACAGAGGAGGUUCCACAUGGACUUAUCUGGGUGGCUGUUUUGAAAACGAGAAACAGUCAAGAGUCCCUGGCCCCACAGACCCACCUCCCCAACUCAGCACUGUCUGUCUGUGCAGCAGGUGCAAGGACGUGUUGAACUAGCUCUCUGCAGCCUCCUUGGAGGAUGUGAUCCUAUGGGAGGGGUAGGAGUAUUCAGGUCCUUGACAUCUCCCAAAUGUGUGAUUCCGGGAUGCCAAAGGCCUUUGGCCAGGUAAUGCAGUGUCUACAGGCUGAGGUUGACAUGCAUCCCCACCCUCUGAGAAAAAGAUCCUCAGACAAUCCAUGUGCUUCUCUUGUCCUUCAUUCCACCGGAGUCUGUCUCAUACCCAACCAGAUUUCAGUGGAGUGAAGUUCAGGAGGCAUGGAGCUGACAACCAUGAGGCCUCGGCAGCCACCGCCACCACCGCCGCCGCCACCACCGUAGCAGCAGCAGCAGCAGCAGCAGCAGCAGCAGCAGCAGCAAGAGUAACUCUGACUUAGGAAUAGAGACAGCCAGAGAGAAAUGUGAUCAAUGAAGGAGACAUCUGGAGUGUGCGUGCUUCUUCAGAGGGACGGGUGAUGGGCAGAUUGGAAAAAGCACCGCAGAUGGGAACCUUAAUCUUUCUUUUCUAAAAUUGAUGCUAUGAAAAUUUGCGUUUUCUGUAACUUGUAAAAACUAAAAGUUGCUUGUCUACUGAAAAGCCUCUCUGCCUCUAUGUUUUAUACCAUCGGAUGCCAACUCCCGGCCUUCUAAGCCACCUCCCCUUUAGGCUAAAACUGAGACAUGAACUUGAAAAAUUGACACUGGCUUCCUCUCUCUUUAGGGUCCCCAGGCAGGUGGCUGGGACACUAUUUGCAAUCAGCAAGGAACCCUGCUGCCCUUAGACUCCCCACAGAGCAAGCAGAACUUGCAGAAUGGGGUAAAAACACUCUAUUAAAGAUUUUUUAAACCUAUUUAUAUUGUAAUAAAGUAAAUGUAAAUAAAAUUUA